rfam:Pseudomonas sp. 5 contig10, whole genome shotgun sequence.
CGCUAUGGCAGCUGUACGUGGGGCACAUUCGUGUGCGCCGGGUCCCUAAGUCCCUGGUCUGUCAACCCGCGUACAGCUGCCACCCAU